GGGCCUGCUGGACCCUGACCUGAGACCUGGUGACAGGAGCCAUGAGGGGCCAGGCCUCAGGUCCCACAGCCUCCAGGACCACUGGCUGCCCAUGAGAGACGAAGGAUGGCAUCCAAGGGGGCCGGCGUGUCUUUCUCCCGCAAGAGCUGUAGGCUGACCUCAGAUGCUGAGAAAUCCAGGGUCACAGUUACUCGGGAGGCUGAGGCAGGAGAAUCGCUUGAACCGGAGAGGCGGACGUUGCAGUGAGCCGAGGUCAAACCAGUGCACUCCAGCCUGGGCAACAGAGCGAGACUCCAUCUGAAAAAGAAACAAAAAGAAAAAAAAA
ensembl:lncRNA novel transcript